rnacentral:lncRNA from 1 species
CCAGCUGAACGCCCUGCUCGCCGCCUCAACAGACCACCACCUCAGACCUGCAGCAGCACCCAACCCCACUCCUCAACUAGAACAACCCCCUCAGACCAGCAGCAUACACCCCAUCCUCAACCAGACCACACCACCCUCAUACUCCAGCGGCACACAACCCACUCCUCACCAGACUCAUACCUCCAGCGGCACACAACCCCACCUCAACCAAGACCUCAUACCUCCAGCGCACACAACCCACUCCUCACCAACCUCAUACUCCAGCGGCACACACCCCCACUCCUCAACCAGACCUCAUACUCCAGCGCACACAACCAACUCCUCAACCAACCGCCCACUCACCCUCAGGCACACAACCCCACUCCCAACAAACCUCAACACCUCAGACCUCCAGCAGCACACAACCCCACUCCUCAACAAGACCUCACCCCUCAGACCUCCAGCGGCACACAACCCCACUCCUCAACAAGACCUCACCCCUCAGACCUCCACGGCACACAACCCCACUCCUCAAAACCUCACCCCCUCAACCUCCAGCGGCACACAACCCACUCCUCAACAGACCUCACCCCUCAGACCUCCAGCGGCACACACCCCCACUCCUCAACCAGACCUCACCCCUCAACCUCCAGCGGCACACAACCCACCCACACCUCACAAACCUCAGACCUCCAGCGGCACACACCCCACUCCUCAACCAGACCUCACCCCUCAACCUCCAGCGCACCAAACCCCACUCCUCACCAGACCUCACCCCUAGACCUCCAGCGGCACCAACCCCACUCCUCAACCAGACCUCACCCCUCGACCUCCAGCGGCACACAACCCCACUCCUCAACCAGACCUCACCCCUCAGACCUCCAGCGGCACACAACCCCACUCUCAACCAAACCUCACCCCUCAGACCCUCGCGCCACACAACCCCACUCCUCAACCAGACCUCAACCUCAGACCUCCAGCGGCACACAACCACCCACUCCUCAACCAGACCACACCCUCAGACCUCCAGCGCACACAACCCCACUCCUCAACCAGACCUCACCCCUCAGACUCCACGCACACACCCCAUCCUCAACCAGACCUCACCCUCAGACCUCCACGGCACACAACCCCACUCCUCAACCAGACCUCACCCCUCAGACCUCCAGCGGCACAACAACCCCACUCCUCACAAGACACACCCCUCAGACUCCAGCGGCACACACAACCCCACUCCUCAACCAGACCACACCCCUCAGACCUCCAGCGGCACCAACCCCACUCCUAACCGACACUGUUCCUUCUGACCCUGUUGUACGUCAUACAGUAAAACCACUAUUUAAGUGUUAUUUCUUUUCUAACUACGGCUUUUCUUAA